CUCAAGGGCGGUUUUCCCAUUUUCGCCCUAACCAAACACCCCCUAUCCCCCCCCCCCCCCCCCCCCCCCCCCCCCCCCGCCCUCUCUCUCUCUCUCUCCCUCUCCGAAUCUUACGAAGGCUUCACCGAAAUAUCUUCUAACAGUUUUGUUUCUCUCUCUAGAUUCCUCUUCUUACUCCACAAUUCUCUCUGACUUCUGGUCCAGAACCGAAGUGUUUCUGAUGGAUUGGAAUGUGGAAACCCUAGAGAUUUGGUGGUGAUUUGUGAAUUGCUGCUGCUGUGGUGCUGUGAUGGGAGAAGAAGUGAGGAUGACUGAGUACGACGCCGGGAGCGGCGACGGCGGUGGAGGAGACGAUGACCGGGUGCUGGAAUGGGAGGUAGGGCUGCCGAGCGCCGAUGAUCUAACGCCGUUGUCGCAGGCGUUGAUCCCGCCGGAACUGGCGUCGGCUUUCAGCAUAUCGCCGGAGCCACGCCGGAGUAUGAUGGACGUGAAUCGCGCGUCGCAGAGCACGUUAUCGAAUAUUCGAGGGCAAUUGCAGGCGUUGUCGUCGUCAAAUAAUCUUAAUUUCAAGUCGUUUAGCGAGGAACGGGCUAAGGAUGGGUUAGUUGUGGAAGGCGACGAGGCGGAUCUGACUAGGGAAGGCUCGGAAUCGAGGAAGGUGAGAAGGACUGAUAGCGGAGUGGAGGAGGCGGACUCGGCUUUGCGUGUGGAGAACGGCAACGAUGAUCCGUCGGCCAGGACUCUGAAGCGGCCGCGUCUGGUCUGGACUCCUCAGCUGCACAAGCGGUUUGUGGAUGUUGUUGCGCACUUAGGUAUAAAAAACGCGGUGCCAAAGACGAUCAUGCAGUUGAUGAACGUCGAGGGCUUGACUCGCGAGAACGUGGCAAGUCAUCUCCAGAAAUACCGACUGUACUUGAAGAGAAUGCAGGGAUUGUCGAACGAGGGUCCGUCAUCGUCCGAUCAUCUUUUCGCGUCCACACCUGUGCCGCAGAGCCUGAAUGAGUCCGGGGGUAGCGUACACGGAAACGGGAACGGACACAUGCCAAUGCCGAUGCCGAUGCCUAUUCCGAUGCCUUACGCUCCGCAGAUGAUGCACGUGCCGGUUAUGGGCAUGACCCAUGGCCAUGGUCAUAUGGGGAUGAAUGUUGCCAAUCCAUCCACCCCGGGUCCCUAUCACGGGUUCGAGUCGCAUCCAUACAAUAUGGUACAACACACAGAUUUUUCUGGAAAUAAGUUCGGCUCUGUUGCGUCCUAUUAUGUUACUCCUAACGAUAAAUAACAUUUUGACGGGGAGGUGAGUUUUGAUCGAUUUAUUUGAGUUUGUAAUGCUUAAAAUAGUUAUUAUCAUCAUUGAUUUUUGUUCCUUGCGGGCCUAUAUGUGCUGAUACAAAUUAAGUAUACGGGAUUAAUAUUGGCUUCAAUUGCGUUGGGAUUGUGACCCGGUGAACACGUUAGGGCUCUGUUUAGAUUAGUCAGGGAUUCAUAUUUCUAGCUACCGGAUUCUAGGAACUAGUUAUUGGAACCUUUUGUUGGUGGCUGAAUUGUAUUGAAUUUUUCAAGUUAAUUGUGGAAAAUCUCCACUGACCUUUUAUUGCUUGAAUCGACUAGUGAAGGAAUGUUGGCUUCUAAAAAAAUUGUGUUGUCUAGUGAACCAUGUAUACCUAAAUUGCAAUAGUUUGCUGGUACAUAAUAAGUGUGCUAUUCAUGGUUCACUUUUCUGUUGAGAUCUUCAUGUAGGUUACUAUAUGGAUUUGUUCUGUUGUAUUUAAUCAUACUCGUUAUCCUUAAUAAUGUUAUUUGUCCAUUUUUGAGGAAAAUUAUGAAGCUUCAGAAAAAGGGAAGGAAUAAAAACCCCAGUAGCUGUUCAACUCGGGCCAGAAAGUUUUGUAAAGAUGGAAUGCAGAACCUGCCAUAUCAUAUAUGUUCUACUAGACGUCCUCAAGUCAUUAAAGAAAUUGUUGCAUGAUAGGAGCAAACAUCUUUCAGGCUAGGAUAUUUGACAAGCAAGCAGUUGAUCCGUAUGCUGGAAGGCAUAGCAUUGGUGAUUCUCUCUUCCUGUACCAUUAUUGGGCUUUGAUUACUUUCAAUCAUGCCCCUUGAAUUUGUGUAGACACUCUGCUGUCCUUCACAAACAGGAUGGUUGACAGCACGCAUUUCUUUUUUCUCAUAUUAAACCACAAUGGUUGGAGUCUAUUCUUCAUUAUUCCUGUAGGUGAGUUGAUCCAAUUUUUGUAUUUUGAUGCAAGAGUGUUGUUCAUGGAACUUAUGUAAGGAUCCAUCUUGAGCUAUAUGGACAGGAGACCUGAUUGUCAGUGUACCAGUACCGGACAGAUCUUGGAGUUGUGUUAUUCUUUCUACUAGAUAAGUGGUAGUAAAGAAGAAUAUGACUUGAGGGAUGAAUGGAUUCAUGCCUCCACGCGUAUAUGUUAUAGAUGGUUUGGCAUGUCUUGAAGUUGAAGUGAAAAGGAGGACUUUAUCUAGACUUGAGGGAUGAACCUUGUACAAGCUUACAACAACCUAUCAAGCCUUCAUCCCACUAUGUGGGGUUGGCAUUAUGAAUUAUAGCUCGCCUGCCAUUUUUAGCUAUGCUUAGAAAGAAAAAAAAUGUGUGUAUCUACUAGUAGGUACAACUCAUCUGAAUGGUAAAAGAAGAAAGAGGCACUCUUCCAUCAACCAUGGAAAUAGACAAAUAAUGAUGUUUCCCACCUAAGCAUGGCACUAAUUUCACCACCUAUGAUGCUCCGAUAAUGCUAGAAAAUUGCUAUAUAGUCAUUCAGGCAAAAAACCUUUUAACAUCUCAACCUAUUCAUGUCAGCCAACACCUUAUCCUUCAAAAUGCUCUCUGAAUUUCUGAACCUCUAAAUGGGGUUGCCUUCCCACUCCACCACAAUUUUCCAUUCAAAAUGUCAAUCCUAGAACCUUCAUGCCAUUAAUGUCCUUAUCUUUACACUGCCUAUACUUAAAAAUAAUGGUGCUCUCCAUUAGUCAGGCAAUAAUUGAAUUUAAAAAUGGUACAACUUUCAUUUACCUUCCUCAGUGAGAAACAAAUAAUUAACCUGCAAGGGAAGACAUGGACAAGGCCUGAGAUAGGCAGGGUAAUUGCAAGUUUUAAUAUUUUUGAAUUGCUGAUCACCAACUCUUCUAAAAGCUUAAGCUGUUUGAUUAGAGAGAAUGAUGUUUUUAUUGUUUAUGUUUUUAUUUUUAUUCUCAACGUGCAUGAUGUUCUGAACCCUAAGAUAUGGUAAGCUUUUAUUGGAUAACUGGACAAAGCAAGUGUAACUAUGUAAAUGUUGGGUUGGUGGCAAUUUUUUAACCCUAUACACUUGAUUACUCUGAUACCAUGUUAAAUUACCAUUUGUCUUAAAAGUUUAAGCUAUUACCAUUGAAAGUCCCCUUGCAUGCAACUUGCACAUGAGCAUAGGUGUACUAACUAACAUACACAAGAAAAACAAAAAAUAACAAUUACAAGUCAUGGUUUUUUGAUGUGAUGAGUUUUACACUUGUUGUCGGCUAUCUAAUGCAACUCUCUUCUUUAUCCAGGCUUGGGACUUGCUGUGAAUAAGAGAAUCACCUUCAACACUAAAGUUUUGAGGGAAUUACUCAAUCCACAGGACCUUCUGAAAUUAGAGCUCUAAAGCCUAUUAACUUAUUGAUCACUAAAUUGUCUAAAAGCUUAAAUUGUUAGAGAGGGGUGACUUAAUAUUUUAUGGUGUUAUUUUUACUUUCAACAAAUGUAAUUGGAAAGAUUUAGAUUUGCUUGAAUGGUAGAGAUGGAAACUUGCAGCUUGUCGUUUUUUCCUUUUUUCCUUUUUUUUAUUUGGUAACUCUCCAUCUUAUCUAGUGUGCAAUAGAAACUAUAAUAGCCAAAGGAAAUUUUGCAAGCCAAAUGUUUUGAGGUCUUUGCUGUGGUGGAAUCUUGUUUUCUCAGUUGAGGUGUUAUUGAUUUAAUUCCUUUGUUUGAUUAGAGGAUCAAAACUCUGAUCCUUUACCAUUUCAUUACUCUCUCUGUUUGGUAGUUAUGCUCGAAAACAAUUUGAUUGGCCUAGCAAUGCAACAUGAUUGAUCCGUCAUCUUUUGAGCCUUUUGCAUCUAUGUUGUCUUUUUGAAAACAUUCAUUGCCUUGCUAUAGUAUCUUCUUGGUUGGUUGGUCUUUCUCCCUUUUUUAAUUUGUCUUUUGCUUUUUAGUCUCUCUUGCUCUGCCAGUGUGCCCUUGUGAGGGAGGGGUUAUAUUUAUACAGGCAUAGGAACAUUACGGCCUACCACUUGUUAUCUAAUGGGUGAUGUUAUUAGAUAAUUCUUCUGAUUUGCACACUUGAGAGGCAAUUGUCUCUUAAUUUAUCUUAUUAGUUAGCAUUUUUCCUUGGGGCACAGCCCUUUUGAGAUUAGUUAAAUAACAAGAAAAGGUGCAGAUUUAGUUCACUGAAUUAAGGAGGUCAUGUGAGUACAAUAGGAACAAUACCAAGUCUUAAUCCCAGAGUCACACUAGGUGUACCUGAAUUCUAGCUUUUAACCGUCUCUAUCAUGGCCAUAUCUUUUGGAGGUCACAAGAGUGUUUUGAUGAAAUCAAUAGAGGUAAGACCCUGUAUACUACAGUAAUGGAAAUUCUGUGUGAAAAGAUGGGAGGGCAAGCUCUCACUAGGAUCUAUAGAACAGAAAAUUAUGGAGCUGUGUUGAAACAUUUUCAAAUUUAGUAACUGCUUUUAUACAGGGAUGCAGCAUAUCAUUAUCUUCCAGAAUUGAGGUAAAAUGUUUAGUUCAAAUUUUUUUAUUUUUUAUAUGCCACUGAUUUCAGGUGGUCAAGAUCAUGCUAGUGCAAGCAGAAACUGAUAUUAAAAAGAGUUGGUAAUCUCAGGAACUACAAGCUGACACCAGAAAUCAAUUUUGAUAUCUCAUAGGGAUGAAAUAUGCACAAUAGUGUUUAUUGAGAUGAGGGGUGUGAAUUCCAUAUUAGUAAUCAUCCAACGAUUCCUAAAAGAAAAUUGUUUAUUAUUUAUGACUUGGAUUCUGUGGUCUUAUGGUGCCCUGGCUUGCCAUUAUAAUUCAUGUGAUACUAAGCAUUUCUUUUUUGGUGAAGGUGGAGUGAAUCAUGUGCCAAAUCAGAAGGACACUGAUGCUGAGGAAAAAUCAUCCUUCAUGGCUUCUUCCAAGCUGGUCUUACUUGCGUUACCGCUUAGGCUGAAAGAAGUAUACUGCGCAUUUAUGAGCCACAUUGCCUUUACUUUAGAAAUGCGAAAAUCCAUGAUUUUCAGUUUUUCCUUCUUAAUAAUGCGUACUUUUCUAUCUGGAGUUGGGUGAUAUUGUGCUGACAUAUAUGAUUAGUCUCUAACAGCGAAAGGGAUUCAUGCCACAUGUUUUAUUAUUAUUAUACUUUCGUAAAAAAUAUAGAUAUCUGAAAAUUGUGGAUAAUACACAGGUCUUUUAGAUGAUUUCUUCUCUCUCUCUCUCUCUCCCAUUUGCCCCUUGUAGGUCUUCCAUUCUCAUGCCCUUAAAUCAUUAAUUUUCUGAAGUUAGUUCCACCAAUAUGGGUUAGAUCCAUUAUUUGUUGCGCUUUAGAGUAAUGGAGGAUGCCGUUGGCAAGGUUCUAAUCUA